AACCAUCUCUGACGAUCAACCUCGUCUUGUUCAGCCAUAUCGAGCAGUUCUUCAAGGCAGCUUAACAACAUUACCUUGAAUAGCUUAAGAUUUGAUUUCAGGACCUUAUGUCUGCCGCCUCCGUCUCAUUUAUUCUUAGAUUUCGAUCUAAGAAUCUGAGACACCAUCUUAUUCCAGAUUAAUUCAUUCUUGGCAUCCUUUGUCGAAUUUUAUCCCUAUUAUUUGGUGCUUUCAAUCCUGUACUCAUUUACCAGGAAAAAUAAACAAAAACCAGCAAUGGAAAUUAUAAACAAUCCGGAUUUCUAAAGACUUCAAGCACUCCAAAUGGCUCAAGGGAAAGAACUCACAGAGUUUAGGGUGGUGAUAUCUAAAUCCAUAGGAGAUCUUGCUGCAUAAAUUGUAAAUCUCUGUUCAAAGGGAGAUAACAUAAAAGAAAAAGAACCAGGUACAAAAAAAUACAAGUUUAAUGAUCAAAGCUAUUUGUCCAUGGUAGAUCUAGAUAUGCCGGAUUAUGCAAAGAGUUUUAUAGAAAAUGAAGAAGAACCACAGAAGGGCCUGAAAGUCUUUAUGUCUAAGUUUGAUGGAACUGAGGCUGAAGAAUGGUUAUAUCAAGUCAGAAGAUUCUUCAUAUAUAACAGAACUCCAGAGGAUCAGAAGCUUCUUGUAGUCUCUUUUCAUGUAGAAGGAAUGGCUAGGAAGUGGUUUGCAUGGAUGGAUGCUAGUGGGUACUUGUCAGACUGGAAAGCUUUUGUGAUAUCAGUUCAAAGAAAAUUCUGCAGUUCACAGUAUGUGUUACCAUGAGGUAAGCUGAGCAAAUUAUUACAGACAUCCUCAGUUGCUGAUUAUAUAACCAAAUUCGAAGAUAUGUGCACAAGAUGUUUGGGACUUUCAGAUUAUUUCAUACUCGAGAUGUUCAUAUCUGGCCUGAAAGAGGAUAUUCUAACAGAGGUAGUCAAAGCCAGACCCGAGGAUUUACAAGAGGCUUUUGAUUUAGCAUUAUUAGUGGAAGGGAAAUCUGGACCUAGAUCUUAUGGAAUUAAUUCAGGGUUCAACAAACCUAACAAACCAGCAUGGUCUGGAAAUAUUCAGAAUACAUUCAUAAGUAAAGAUAGCCAACCAAGUAGUAAAACAAUAGUUCCUACUACAACCUUCAGAAGAUUAUCUCAAGAAGAAAAGAAAAAAAGAACUGCCAAGGGGUUAUGCUUCAAUUGUGGGCAUAACUACAAAGGUAAAUUAUUCAUGUUAUCAUCUGAUGAAUCCUAUUUUGUAGAAAUUGAAGGUCAAGAGGAGGGUGAAUUCGAGAGAGAAGAGGUGGAAGAAAUCACUAAUGAGAUCAACAAUGAGAUUCCAUCUGGAAUCAGUAUGCAUACAUUUGAAGGACAUAUGAGCCCAGGUACUAUUAGGCUAGAAGGAUUUAUAAAGAGUACUCAGGCAGUAAGUAUUCUGAUAGAUUCAGGCUUUACCCAUAAUUUUAUGCAGUUAGAAGUGGCAAUAGAUCUCCAGCUGACCAUCCAUGCUAUUCAACCCUUCAAUGUUUCCAUUGGUGGAGGAGAGAAAUUGAUCUGUAAUAGAAAAUGUAAGGUUGUGGGAAUGAAGAUAUAAGGAAUAGAAGUUUAUGUGGACUUGUUCCUAAUUCCAAUAUCUGGCUCAAAUGUGGUAUUGGGAAUUCAGUGACUGAAGAAAGUGGGGGAUAUUUUAUCUAAUUAUGAAAAGCUCACCAUGAGGUUUAAACUAAAUGGCAAGGAGGUAUUGUGGCAAGGUUUAUCAUGGUUAUCCCAAGAUCCAAUGAGUUCGGGAGAAUGAAAGAGUUUAGUGGGUGAGACCAAAAAAGCCUUCUUAUGCUAUUUUGAGACAACAUAAAUAAAUAAAAAUUCAGCAAAUUUGAAGGUCAGUAACCCCAAAAUUCAUGAAGUGGUAGCAAAUUUCAAUGAUAUUUUUGUGGACCCAACAAGACUUGCACCACACAGAGAGAAGGAUCAUAUGAUUCAUUUGAUAAUCCCAGGGGCAAAACCAGUGAAUGUUAGGCCUUAUAGAUACCCACAAUUUCAAAAAAAUGAAAUUGAGAAGCUUAUUUCUGAGAUGUUAAAACAGGAAACUAUCAAACCCAGCUCUAGCCCUUACUCUUCCCCGGUAUCAUUGCUAAAAAAGAAAGAUGGGGGUUACAUGAUGUGUGUAGAUUAUAGAGCACUUAAUGCAUUGACUGUUAAGAAUAAAUUCCCUAUCCCGACAGUGGAUGAGUUAUUGGGAGAACUCAAGGGUGCUACUAUAUUUUCAAAAUUGGAUCUAAGAUCAGGAUUCCAUCAGAUAAGAGUGUGUCCAUCAGAUACACACAAGACAGCCUUUAGAACCCACCAAGGCCAUUUUGAAUUUCUAGUAAUGCCAUUUGGCCUAACAAAUGCUUCAGCAACAUUUCAAUCAGUCAUGAACUCUGUUUUCCAGAAGUAUCUUAGAAAAUUUGUAAUAGUAUUCUUUGAUGGCAUCCUUAUCUACAGUCCAUCAUUGUCAGACCAUUUAUCUCAUCUGGAGAGUGUGUUUGAAACCUUAAGAAAGAACCAAUUGCUGACCAAGUUAUCCAAAUGCUCAUUUGGUCAGAGUUCAGUAGGAUUCUUAGGUCAUAUAAUUGCUGCAGAUGGAAUCCAUCCAGACCCAGAGAAAAUACAAGCAAUGUUAUAAUGGAAGGCCCCCAAAAUAAUCAAAUUAUUGAGGGGAUUUCUGGGCCUUACAGUGUACUACAGAAGGUUUAUUAAAAAUUAUGCUAGUAUAGCUUCUUCAAUGACCAAUUUACUAAUGAAAGACAAUUUCAUAUGGAAUGAAGCAGCAGAAGAAAGCUUCAAGGAGCUGAAAAAAGCUAUGACAACUGCUCAUGUCCUAGCCUUUCCUGAUUUCACAAUACAGUUUGAAGUAGAGACAGAUGUUGGUCAUGGGGUUGGAACAUUCUUAAUUCAAAAAAAUCAUCCUAUAGCGUUUUAUAGUUGUAAAAUUUCUGAUAGAAUGAUGGGUGCAUCAGUUUAUGUAAAGGAAAUGUAUGCAAUAACUCAGUCUGUUAAAAAAUAGAGACACUACUUGUUAGGUUCUAAAUUCAUCAUUAGGACUGAUCAUAGGAGUCUCAAAAAUCUACUCACUCAAGUAAUACAAACACCUGAGCAACAAGUUUUCCUCUGUAAGUUGUUAGGUUUUGAUUUUUCAAUUAUAUACAAACUAGACAAAUUCAGUGUGGUUGCUGAUGUUUUAUCUAGAUCAAUCGGAGAAAAUUCAGAAAUUGAAAUUUUAUUUUCACAAUCAUCUGAAAAGGAGGCUGGAUCAUUAUAAGCAUUAUCUAUUCCAAUCAAUUCUUUGGUAGAAAGAAUUAAAGUAGAGAACCAGAAUAAUGAAGAAUUGAAGAGUUUGAUGGACAAAAUUGAGAAGAAACCGUAUCAAUUUGGGGAAUUCUCUGUUAUAAAUGGCUUAAUCAGAUACAAAGACAUAAUCUAUCUAAAGGAAGAUUUCAACUUCAUUCCACAGAUUUUAGCAGAAUACCACUCUGGAAUUGUGAAAACAUUAAAGAGAAUUUCAGCAUUAUUUUGGUGGAAGCAUAUGAGAGAGUCAGUAACUUCUUUUGUUCAGAAGUGCAUCAUUUGUCAGAAAAUGAAAUCCCUUAACCACAACAAGUUGGGCCUACUAAUGCCAUUACCAAUUCCAUCUAAGGUAUGGCAUGAUAUUUCCAUGGAUUUUAUUGCACAUUUACCAAAAAUCCAAAACAAAACAGUAAUCCUAGUAGUGAUAGAUAAAUUGACAAAAUAUGCACAUUUUGGUGUCUUGCCUAGUGGAUUUAAUGUUUUGAUGGUAGCUGAUUUAUUUAUUGAUAUGAUUGUUAAAUUGCAUGGUGUGCCCAAUUCGAUUGUUUCUGAUAGGGACAGCAUUUUUACUUCCAAAUUUUGGAGAGAAAUUCAUCAAAGAAGUGGGCAUCUGCCUAUCAUCCCCAGUCCGAUGGACAAACUGAGGUAACCAAUAGAGGGUUAGAGCAAUAUUUAAGAUCAUUCUGUCAUAAUGAUCCAAAAGGGUGGUUAAAUCUAUUACCUUGGUGCGAAUUAUGGUAUAAUACUAACUAUCAUGGCCCAUUGGGUAUGACACCCUUUAAUGAAUAUAUUAUAUAUAUGGGAGAGAUCCUCCGGGUUUAAUUCAUUAUGAACAAGGCAGUUCACAAGUACAAGCAGUAGAUGAUUUAUUAACACUGAGAGAAGAGACUCUGGAGUCGAUAAAAAUUAACCUAGAAAAAGCUCAGAGGAGAAUGAAAUUACAAGACGACAGAAAAAGAACAAAUGUGGAAUUCACAGAGCGAGAAUGGGUUCUAGUUAAACUACAACCUUACAGACAAUUCACAGUGGCUCACAGAUUAAACAACAAACUUUCACUGAGAUAUUUCGGACCAUUCAUGAUUAAAAAGAAAAUAAGUGUAGUAGCUUACCAGUUACGGCUACCAGAAGGGAGCAAAAUCCAUGCAUCACAUGUUUCAUAUUGAGAAAUUAAAGCGAUUCAAGGGAGAACCUCCUUCUGAAACAAAAAUUUCCCCAAUUUUAGCUGUGAAUAAUCAACUUGUACUGUAUCUAUUAGCUAUUAUUGAUUGCAGGAAGGUUUACAUACAUGAAAAAAUCGUGAAGCAAUUCCUAAUCUAAUGGAGUAACUGCUUACCUAAAGACGCGACUUGGGAAAGCUUCUUACCUAAAGACGCAAUUUCUAAUCUAAAGGAGUAACUUCAAGAGGUGUUUCCGUCUAUAUAAGUUGAGGACAACUCGCUACUCGAAGAGGGUGGAGAUGAUGCGAUCACACUGAACCAGGGGAGGAUCGUGGAGCAUCUAGAAGCAAUGACAGGUAUGGACGUUAGUGAAAGUGUAGAGGAAGAAGAGGGAAAUCAUCAAUCUGAAUUUGGGGAGAAUCGUCUUACCCAGCUG
rnacentral:lncRNA from 1 species